UACGGGGGGGGCAAGCGUUGUCCGGAAUUAUUGGGCGUAAAGAGCUCGUAGGCGGCUUGGCAAGUCGGAUGUGAAAACUCCAGGCUCAACCUGGAGCCGCCAUUCGAUACUGCUAUGGCUAGAGUCCGGUAGGGGAGUGUGGAAUUCCCGGUGUAGUGGUGAAAUGCGUAGAUAUCGGGAGGAACAUCAGUGGCGAAGGCGGCUACCUGGCCCAAUACUGACACUCAGGUGCGACAGCGUGGGGAGCAAACAGG
rnacentral:rRNA from 1 species